rnacentral:rRNA from 1 species
AGUGAACGCUGGCGGUAGGCCUAACACAUGCAAGUCGAACGGCAGCACAGUAAGAGCUUGCUCUUACGGGUGGCGAGUGGCGGACGGGUGAGGAAUACAUCGGAAUCUACUUUUUCGUGGGGGAUAACGUAGGGAAACUUACGCUAAUACCGCAUACGACCUACGGGUGAAAGCAGGGGAUCUUCGGACCUUGCGCGAUUGAAUGAGCCGAUGUCGGAUUAGCUAGUUGGCGGGGUAAAGGCCCACCAAGGCGACGAUCCGUAGCUGGUCUGAGAGGAUGAUCAGCCACACUGGAACUGAGACACGGUCCAGACUCCUACGGGAGGCAGCAGUGGGGAAUAUUGGACAAUGGGCGCAAGCCUGAUCCAGCCAUACCGCGUGGGUGAAGAAGGCCUUCGGGUUGUAAAGCCCUUUUGUUGGGAAAGAAAAGCAGCAGGUUAAAACCCCGCUGUUCUGACGGUACCCAAAGAAGAAGCACCGGCUAACUUCGU